GAGGUCCAAGUCUUUGUGUUG
rnacentral:siRNA from 1 species